rnacentral:rRNA from 1 species
GGGGAACUGAAACAUCUAAGUACCCCGAGGAAAAGAAAUCAACCGAGAUUCCCCCAGUAGCGGCGAGCGAACGGGGAGGAGCCCAGAGCCUGAAUCAGCAUGUGUGUUAGUGGAAGCGUCUGGAAAGGCGCGCGAUACAGGGUGACAGCCCCGUACACAAAAGCGCAUGUGUUGUGAGCUCGAUGAGUAGGGCGGGACACGUGGUAUCCUGUCUGAAUAUGGGGGGACCAUCCUCCAAGGCUAAAUACUCCUGACUGACCGAUAGUGAACCAGUACCGUGAGGGAAAGGCGAAAAGAAC